rnacentral:rRNA from 1 species
UACAGAGGUCCCAAGCGUUGUUCGGAUUCACUGGGCGUAAAGGGCGUGCAGGCGGUCUGUUAAGUUCAGGGUGAAAGCUCCCGGCUCAACUGGGAGAGGUCCUUGGAUACUGGCAGACUUGAGGGAGGUAGAGGAGAGUGGAAUUCCCGGUGUAGUGGUGAUAUGCGUAGAUAUCGGGAGGAACACCAGUGGCGAAGGCGGCUCUCUGGGCCUUUCCUGACGCUGAGACGCGAAAGCGUGGGGAGCGAACCGG